GGUACCUUGGCCGAGAGGUUAGGCACCGGUCUGCAAAACCGUAUACAGCAGUUCGAAUCUGCUAGGUACCUCCA
rnacentral:tRNA from 2 species